UGUAGUUUAAAUGAAUUAUUACUCAGAGUACUAUAUUAAUAUGCCUAGUAAGGAAUUUUUUUGACAAAAAAACAUUUCCUGAAUCUUUUUUUUAUUGUCUGUAUUGUUACAGACAUACUUGCUGACAGGUAUUUUCAAAUAAAUGACCAAAAAUAAUUGAAACUGAUGUGAUUAUAUUGUGUUAUUUUGACACAGAAAAUAUGCAGAAUUUUAAAACGUGCACAGAAUUUUUAAUUUUUUGGCGCAGAAUUUCCCUAGGAGUAUAAACUAGGGACAGGCUUGACUUCAGAUGUUCGAAUACAAAUCUGAAAAGGAUGGCAAUCCAAAGCUUUGUCAUUAUUCAGGGGAUGAAACCACUUUAUAGACUUAUGCCUUCUCUGUUCAGCUCCAUUGAUUUGGACUUUUUUGCACUAAAUUCUCCCUAUUUAAUGAUGAAUCCUAAUACUUUUACCUUCUAUAGUGCUCUUAAACUAAGGACCCCAAGCCACUCUGUACAUGUUAAUAGGUUCUCAUAAUCGAGCCAGGGAGGGGGAGAGGCGGUAUCUAUCUUACCACUGUGGGUUAAGGCCUAAAUCUUCAACCAUUUUCAGAGGGGCUGAGUAUCUGCAGAUCCCAUUGACUUCAGCCCCUCUGAAAAUCAGGCCACUGUUUAUGAAGGGGUCUAUGUUUAGGCACCCAAAUUUGGAAAUGGACAAGUGACUUUCUCAAUGUCACCUGGCAAAUCACUGGGAGGGGCUGAGAAUUGAAUUUAGAAAUCCUGACUACUGGUCGUCUGCUCUAAACAGUAGACUCCUCCUUAGCUAUUCAGUUACCUCUGUAUCUUUAAAAUACUGCAUCUCAGACAGAGGCAGUCCUAGCCCAGUGGGCUUCCUAAGCAGGAAUAUUUUUUGGGUGCAGGGGGGACCCCUUAUUCCUCACCCACUCCCUAAAACUACUAAUUGCAUUAUUUCCAUGAACCAAAAAAUAUACCAACACAAACAUAUUAAUACGCUUGUUUAAAAGUCCACAUAAGUCCAAAUUAAAUACGAUGAAUGGUCUUUUGGGGUAAUAUUAAAUCGGGGACCCCAUUGAGCUGCUUGGUACCCGAAGCAAUUGCCCAGUGCCACCACUGAUCUCAAAGCCCAAACUUUGUACAUCUACUUACUCCUCUGCUUGCAGGGCUGCAGUAUUUUUCUCUCUGCAAGGCGGCUGACUUGGAAAGAGGGGAGUAAACUUCCCUUGGUGCUGCAUUUUUCUGAAAUAACUUUAUUUGCACCAUGCAUUCUCUUCACUGCAGUAAUGUACCAGGAGUGUGUUUUUAAAUCUCUAGUCGCUCUUCUGCCUCUCCUCUGCUGCACCCAAAGCCCAGUGAAAAUAAUGCCCUGCUGGAACUACUUUGUCAAGGCCACAGUGUGCUCCUGGCCCCUUGCAGUGCUGUGAUGUGAUAGGCAUACCGCCUGUCAGUGUCUUGUCACUCCCCACACCUCUCUAAUAUGCUUCUAUUUACUGCAGUAAUCAGAGGCCUUCAAAGGCGAGACCGAACUGCUGCUGUUAAAUAUAAUUGUCAUUGUGACAGGUCCAUUGUGGGUUGGAAAAUUUGUGCCUUUCAAAGCUGUCUCUGUGAUAAAGAGCAGCAGUAAAAUCAGAAAUUAAUCCCCUGGCAAGAGAAUGACAUGGUGAUCACUGGAUUGGCACUAACAACUCAGUCAGGGCACCUGCCGAACCUCGCUCUCACCACGCUGAAGGGCUAUUAAGUGGAGGGCAAACCACUCUUCACCUGCCCAGCUUGCAGCGAGCUUUAUUUUGUUGCCCCCGUUUGAAUGAAGAGAUGCAAAGCACUGACCACUCUAUCAUUCACACCCCUCUGUAGAUAGCCUCUCUUGGAAGCAACUGCUCUCUGCCACCUGGAGCUGGGGGGAAACCCAGAGGAGCUGUGCACUCCAGCACACAGGCAGUGCUCACCGUUGUUGUAUGUGAACCCACCCGCCUUUUGUUCUCGCUUCCAGGCCGCUGGCAAACCAUGGAACCACACAGGGAAUGAGGGGUAGGGGAGUUCGGAUCUGUUUGUAGAACUCCAGUGUACAGGUGAUGAUCCAGAGGGGUGGAAAAUAAACAAUCUGUCAGUGAAAAGCGGUUUGAUGAGGAAAGCAAUUUCCUCCCCUCUCAUCAGGAGGUCAUUACAAAUACCAUCACUAGACAGCUUGAUAGCCCAGCUGGAGGAGCAAUGGUCUUCCACCUGUACUUCUGAACAGAGGGAAAUGGGAGUAUGUGGCACCUAACCUACAACACCCAUAAGGCACUGUAGAGCAUGGGGAAAUCUCAACUCCAGGUACCAAAGAGCUAACUAUUGGGCCGCCACUCUGUGUGUCCAUCAGAGUUCAUCUUCUCCAGAAGGUACUAAAGGAAUAAGACUAGCCAGUAAUGGAGGAAUAACAGAGAGAUCACAAUGGGGGCCGCGUCUUGCUAGUCGUCCAGAUUUUUCACCUCCGCUGCGGCCUUUGAAAGACCCUGGUAGCAGCUCGCUUUAGCCCUCUGUCCCUGCUCUGUGUGUCCUGGGCAUGUGGGGAGCAGAGAACAGCGUCUGCUGCUAUUCACGGGUGCGGCGCGUUCAAAGACAGAUCCUCUGUGCUAGUUCAGAGGUUUAUGGUAAAUCUCCGCCAGCAGCUGGAGACUGGACAGUGUCAUUCCCUGUAUGGGAGGAGUUUGUCAGCCAGAUACUUGGAAAGCAGAAAAAAACCAGAGGCGGGCAAAGUGCUGACUGGCGAGAGGUCCCGGACGUUUGGCCAUCUGUCAGGCUUGAUCCUGGAGAGGCUGCACAGGUUAUCUCUGUCUGGGACGCCUGCCUUUUCGCCAAGUGGAGUAGCUGUGCCAGGCUGCCAUCCCUCUGGAACAUCCUCUAGAUGAGUAAGUGCUCGAGAAUCCACUGCUUUGCAUUUGUUCUAGAAAUUGUGCUCGCUAACGAGAGAACAAACCUCCAUCUGCUGAGCUGGCCUGAGAGCAGACGAUUGAAAGCUUCAAGUGGGUACAGGCUCCUUUAAAUUCUAGUUUCCCACUGGUGUUUUUAGUCCAGUUGUACGAGUGCUUUGGUUCAUCGUGUCUUAAUUUUCUGUACAUCAGGGUUUUCCUCAUGUCUGUUUGGUACAUACUAGCAUCUGGGUCAGAUCUACAGUCCAGUCUCACUCCUCUCUGGUAGCGGCUGAUUCCCAAUUCUU